UUUUGGACUUGCCUCCCUGUGGUUUGCACUCUCUCCAGGUUCAUGUGGCUAAAUCCUGCCCCCCAGCAAGCCGCAUUGCAUUUCUUAACCUCCUCCUUACCAUCUGGGGACACAGGGCACAUCGUGACUAAAAGCUCAGAGCAUGACACCAUGCCAGACAACUGCAACUUUUGCCUCAGGGCUCAGAUAAACAGACAUCAGUUUCUCCCCCUUGGAACCACUGACUUUGGCAAAGGCAAGGCACUGCAUGGACUGGACUGAAGAUAUGACAUCACAUCAUUGCCUUUGUGAACAGCAGGUGAUCUAUUUUUCCAAAGACUAAACACAUAAGCAGCUUCAACAAGAAAAGAGGUGUUCUUGCCAGUAACUGCUCAAGUGGCCUCAAGUUGACCUCUUCCCUUUUAGCUUUCCUACCACUCAGCAGGCGCCUCUGACACAUAACAAACUAAUCAAUGUUUUGCCAUAAAUCCCUGUCCAAAAGUGCUUCAUAUCUGUUUAAAGAAUUGAGCUCUAUGCUUUGUCCUCCUCAGGAAAGGACUGGGACAACCCUGAAGGCAACAUGGGCUGUCAGCUUUGGUCCACUCCUAAUCAUCAAGCCUUUUCCAAAAAGGGAUGAUUCUUCUGCAUGGGAGUUGUUAGGGAAAGCAGUGAGUGACAAGCUUUCAAGGGGCCACAGAGUAGAAACAAAUGUUUGACACAGGAGCAGAGCUGGACAAGGUAUGCAGCUACUGCAAUAUGACAGGAGGUCAGGAAGAAGAAACCUUAUCUGACCAAGAAUCUGAUAGACUGCAGAUCUACAAGUUGGGUAAAUCAGAGGAACAUCCAUGCAUUUCAGAAUAUUUUAUUUCCAAAAAUCUGCAACCUUCAUCCAUGAUAAAGACUGGCUUUGUCUGCUAUCUGAGAACUAGUAUCCUAAGAAUCAAGGAAUUUAUGUGCAGCAUUGACAGGAGAAUGAUGUUUUAAUCACUGAAGUUUUUAAGUCUUUACCAGUAAUUUAUGUUUAUUUAGCCUAUCUUUAUCCAAUGAAUAAAUAACACUGGAAGGAAGGAAGUCUUUAUUAAGAAUUCAACCUCCUUUCCCCGUUCAGCUGAAGAAUUUAGAGAUUGCAAUAAAUAUGCUUUGAAUCCAGAAAAGGUUUUUCAACAGAGCUACGUCGGGCCAACACUAACACUCCUAAUCAAGUAAAGACAGACUUAUUAAUAUCAUCAAGCAAAAACUUCCAUGCCAUGUUUCUACAGCAGAAAGAAGAUUGCUGGGUAUAACCUGAAAGCCCAGAGCCUUUCCCAAACAUCUUGGUAGUGAAACAAAAGUCUGCCAUGAGGGUCUC